GUGGUGAUUUAAUUGUGGAGUGGAGAGUUUAAUACAUGUUCUGCUGCAGUGUUUCGCUCUGAAGUCCCUCUGAAGCGUCGCUGCCAUUGAGCCUACGUGUGCAGUGUGCAGUGUGUGAACAGUUCGCUGGAACAGAGCUCUAAACAACACAGAAACAGGAUGAGGGCCACGAACGAACUCAAAUCCUCCGUGAAGUAACAUCUCAUCAUCAUCUCAUCACACUGACGUCAGCGCAGAUAGAGUUCAAAACAAACAUUUGGUCAUAUCUGCUAAUGUCCUGAGUUCAGUCCU